UGCAUCCGGGAUAGAUGGCCUAAUAAUAUAAAAUAUGUUAAGCUAGCAAUAUCAAAGCCAAAAGCUCUGAGCUCUGAACAAUCAGUUAGAAAUUCAACAUGCAGCUAUCAGUUGUCGUUUUCGGGCUUGUAGUGCUUGCCGCAGUGCUGGUAAAAUCAGGAGAUGCGAGGGCUUCACCUUCAAAAGAUGAGCGGCUGGAUGAAUUGACUGAGGAAUUACUGGCUAGAUAUGUGGAAAGAAGGAACCAAGAAACAAAUAUGCAGAGCACCAACACACGAAGUACGUACGACAAUGGUCCUGUGCGUCGUUUUUGGUCGUGGCAUAAGCCUCCCCACAUAACUAACACAAUAAAUAUUGGAAAUCAUCAUUCGGGCAAUUCUGGAAACAUCGGCAGUAUUCAUGGUGGUUUCACAGGAGGUAAAAUUGGGAACAACCAAGGAAGGAAAUAGAUCAACGGAUGUCAUGACGAAGGAAAAUAUUAACAAGACAAUGGACCAAAAGCGGUGAUAAUUUGAAUCCAUCAAAAUCUGUAAAACAAAACGACAAAACUUAAUCGACGUAAACUCAUUGUCAUAUGAUAUAAGAUGUUAGAUUAGUGUGAUACGAACUAUACCAGGAUAAUUUUGGACUUGAUUUUGCGGAUUAAUGAGCUAUUUUAUUUUAAUUACAGUAAAUAUACUUUAUCAUAUUUCCUUGUUAUCUUUUUUUUUUUUUUCUUUUUUUUUUUUUGCUUUUACUCAUCUUGAAGUAGUUAUAGUUUUAUACUAGGUUGCGACUUCAUACUUGAAUUACUAUACAUAAAAACGUGCGUCUGCUAAAGUUGUCCAGUCGCCUUUUACAAAUAAGGCUAGCUUGCUAUUUUCUGAACUUUGACACCUGAGAUUCUAUAAAUUUACUAUAUGCAUACACGCAUACACGUAUGAAAUCGCAACCUGUAUUAUAUAUGUAUGUUUUUUCAAUCUGCUUUUUUUGAUAUUAUAUUGAGUGUUUUCACUUUCACUUUUACAAGACUCGUUCACAAACAGUAGCUACGUUUAUUUUGGAAAUAAUAUCUAGCAUAAACAUAUUUUAACAUAUACAAUGUAUAAACACUACGCAGAGUAUAGGGCCAACACCUCCGGUCAAGUCCUAGUGAAUUAUCCACGCAGCGAGUUACUGGCUAGUAUUGUUUGGAUAAUUAAAACAUGGUUCUGCUGUUUAUUAUUUCGAUCGAUUCUUAUAUGUUUUUUUAUGUAAGACGUAGAUGGCAGAAUUUGGAAGCACUAUUUCACGUCUCAUUUAAGGCGUCAAAUCUGUUAGAUGGACACGUCCCCGGGCCAGUCCGGCUUCAAAGAUAUACGUAAAUUGACCUAAGCAUUCAUUAACUUAGCGAACAAUAUAUAUUGUUUGGUAAAGACAAGUCAGUUCCAACGGGCACUUUGACGUACAUGACAUCUUUUUAAAAAAUAAAAUAUCCAUUACAUACAAUUGUUUUCAAGACGAUUAAAAUUUUGAAAAAAAGAAAAUCUAAAAUGUAUGAUAUUUGUUUAUAUACAUGUUAUUGUUUCAAAACGAAAGAUGAAGACAUUUUAUAAUUUUUACCACAGUUGUGAACAAGUAGAUUCCGUGAUAUUUAAUAUUCUCUUAUUCUUCGCAAUUUACUUUACAUCUAUUAAACAUAAUUUUCUGCAGA